CUGACACCCAAUCAACUGAGCCACCCAGGCGCCCCCUCAUUGACCUACAUUUUAUAAUUUUGUGUCUGAUCAGAAUUUUUACCUAUUAAUUUAUUCAUACAAUAAUGACCACCUACAUGCCAGACCCUUCUUGACCGGAGAUAAUUGUAUUAAGU